rnacentral:ribozyme from 1 species
GGUGUGGAAAUUGCUUCUGGGAGAUGUCGCCUCUGUCCACAUGACGUCCUUUAUGGAGACGACGCUGGUGUCUGGCAUGCGGCCUCUUGUGAGGUGUCUCGACACCAU